UCCUCAGUUACAAGCUAGUUCCCGUCCGCUACCAAGAAUACGAAUAUUGUCUACUGAUUCCCGUUUAAAUUUGGUCAGCUUUGGAGAACAUCUCAAUCCAAAGGCUCCCUAACACACGUUUUACUCCAGCAUUUUUUAUCUUUUUUGAGACAGGUUUAGUGUGACAAUGGCAAUUGUGGUGGAAAACUCAAAAUAUUCCAGUCAGAUUUUACAACAGAGAUCUCGUACAGCAACAGAAUAUCUGCACCAGUUGCAAGCAUGUUUGUGACAUCAAAAUUGCACUUUAGGCAACAGUAGUUGCAGUUCUGAUAUCAAAGGCCCUAUUGUGCGUUUUCUCUUUGUUUGGUCUCUUCAGAUCCCCCAACGAUCACCGGUGAAGGUUACACUAUAGAUGUGUCUGAGGGAGAUCUAGCUCUAAUUCCUUGCCCAGUACUUGGAAACCCUCAUCCCACCAUAGCUUGGUACAAUGGAAAUGAAACUUCUCCGAGCACUAUGAUAAAUAUCAAUAACAUUCUGCAGUUUUGUGAGACUGUGUUAGAUGAUAGUGGAUGGUACACCUGCUUUGCCGAAAACUCUUUAGGAAACGUUACUGUCACGGUCCAGCUACGUGUUGAAAAGUCUGUACAAAGUACAGUAACCACAUUGCCAAAGACAAAGACUAAAGGUAAGGAGUAACGUUUUUGUGCUUAUCAUUGAAGUUUUCUAUAUUGAUAGUAGUUUUGUUUUAUGGACCUGAAGCAUGCUAUUAAAGGCUAGUUGCCCAGAAAUUUGCUGGUAGCUGUUUAUGAUUUUCGAAAGCUAGACGAAAAGUAUAGCAAUGAAAAGGAAUAUAGCUUUCAUCACGAAUGCAAAUUUCAGGUUUGUUCUGAUUAGCCAAGAAAAAAAAAUGGAAACCAGGGGGUGCAAUGAAAGCCAACCUUGUUCUCAGUGUUUUCUCAAGAGAGAGGACUCUGGGAACGAGGUUGCAAUAAAGAGUCGUUUGUGUCUGUCCCAUGAUCUGUUUUUGAUCUGAGAUAUGAUCAAAAGGUACGCGUUGAAUGACGUCGGAUCCUAAAAAUAUCCAUUCUUUGAACCUUGUGUUUAGGGGAACAUAUUGGUGCAAAAUUUGAGAUACAGUGUUUGAUACACAGAUAAAAAUAGCCGGAAUUUUCAAUAAACAACUAUUAGGUUUUCCUAGUGAAACAACAAUAGUUAACAAAAAGAACACAAGAACAUCUAAAAAAAUAUUUUGCUUAAAAAUGUUUGGACAGUUUGAAAAUAUCACCCAUUUGCUAGUUCAUGGUUGAAUGAUUUUGAAUAUUUUGUUCUUGUAAAACUUGGAAUUUGACAAACAUUGCGCUGUGCUUCAACCGAUCAGCUGAAUCAACUAGGGACUCGCCCUACGGGCUCGUACUAUUUUUUAAGCCUUUCAAAAAUUAAUUCGUGCGUGCUUUAUUCCAAAUUGAACAAGAAAAAUCAUGCGAUUACCUUUACAAAAUUUUAGACUCACAUUUUGUACUCAGGAACACAACCUUUAACUUAUUCUCCAUUCUCGUAAGCGAAAAUAUCCUAUCAUGAUUUUAGGAUCUUAAGGGGCCUCUUUGUAUUAUCUGCAUGAACAUGCAAAUCUCUUUGACAUAAUUAGACUGGUCAACAUAUUUGCACGCUGGGCACGUUCAAGACACAUACAUAUUCCGUUUGUGCAAGAUAAUAACUUGAUGAUGGCUGAAGUGGGCAGCACUAUUUGAUUCAAGUCGUUACAAGCUGUAGCCUUAUUUAUGCGGUUAGACAUUCGAGUUUAUCAUCUUUGCAGAAGUUACGUGGUGAUACUUAUGUUUAUUUAGUUUCUACUCAUGUUUUAGAGAGCACUGUUUCCGCCACGGCGACCAUAGAUAAGAGCUGCGAUGAACGAUUAGAAGUUGAGAGAAGGUUUCCUAGUUUGGCUUGUGAGCGUGUUAGACACCUGGGUUGUUUAUCUGCCCAAGCUUUCGACAGUAGGUGUGGCAGUGUUAUCGUAGAUUUCGAGAUGAAAUUCAAUCAAAGCGCAGUCGUUAGUGAAGUGUUGAAUGUUCUGAAAACGGCCGCAAAGGAAGAUAAUUUUGAUGGAUAUAAAGUCGAUCCCAACUCCAUUGAACAAGUUUCUGCUGCACCAACGGGCACAUCAGGCACUAAAGCUCCUGAAGAAUGCAAGUGCUCGUGCAAUGACGUCAUCUGGGCGGCUGUAGUUGGAGUUCUUGUGUUUAUAAUCAUCGGUUUGAUUCUUUACAUUGUUUGGCUACACA
rnacentral:lncRNA from 1 species